UUCAAAGACUGAGGUGGAAAGAUUAUUCAGUGUUCUCAAAUGUAAAAACUGACAAAAGAAACAGGCUUUCUAAUGAAACCCUGAACGGCUUGCUUCAUAGAAAGUUCCCAACUUUGCCAGCAAACAAUUGCUCAAUUUUAGAACCGAACAGUGUUAGGUUGUGUGCAGCAAAAGAAUAUAAAAGCAAUGCGUCGACUUCCUUGAAAAUUCUAAUCCUAUAGAUCUAUGAUCUUCUGGGGGCGUUUAUAUUAUAUAUACCUACAUUAAAUAAUAUGCUGUGGUUUAUUUUCUGUAUUUUAUUUAUGCUUUCUAUAUAAAGGAUUUAUGAAAGUUGUCUAGGAAAUUUUAGGGAAAAUUCAAAAUAAACUAGGGUAAAAUGUGUUAAAAAAAACGUAAGUGGAAACACUGCUUUGAAGUUUUCAAAAUUCCAGGGCCGUAAAACAAUCUCAAAAAAAAAAAAAGUUUUCAAAAUGUCGUAACGAUUUAAUUUUUUAAAUCGUUUUUUUUUUGUCUUGGUAAAGUUUAUUAUUGAAAAUCAGCAUGCCUCGAAGAACGAAAAUGAAAUGCUAUUUCGGAUGCCUUGAUAACGACAAAGGUUUGAUAAUGACAAAAUUUUAUGGAAAAAUUAUAAGGAGCACUAAAAUGUCUGAAACAUGAAAAGAUUGAUGCACUAUAUUUGAACCAGAACGUGUUAUGUAAUAUAUUAAUUUAAGAGAAACUGAUUCAGCAAGGAACGUGAACUCUCAAGGGAUCUUAAUUUUUUUUAAAUAUGUUUAUAAUUUUUAAAUGAAUAAUUGAAAUAGUUCUUAAGAACUAAAUUGUUUGUUUUAAAAUAGGUUGUUUAGUUCUUAUAGUUAUAAUACGUCUUAUAGUUACGUUUGAAUAGUUGUAAUUAGUAAGUUAGUAAUAUAUGAAAAUACUGAUAUAAAUUUUUGUAAAUAACCUUUUGUAAAUUCUACGAGAAGAUGAUUUUAAUUAAUGAUCAAAAGUCAACGGUCUUCAAAAGCAUUAUUUGCAAUUAUUUAGAUUAACUGUGGAAUAUAUUUGCUAAGUUGUGUUUUCUGUAUGAGCAGAUAUAAAUGAAAAUGCCCAAACAUGAUUGUUUCUUACAUUUUCAUUAUGUGAAAUCAAUAUGCUUGUGACUGAGUAUAUUAAUAAUUUAUUAAAACUUCAGUGAUAGACAGCAACCCUUAUGGCACUGCUGAAGUUUAUAAGCACUGGUGACCACUUAUCAUGAGCCGGGUUGCGUGCUCGUCUGCUGUUGAGUGCAAUAAAAAUUUUCGAAACCAUUUCUAUUAUUUAGAUGUAAUAUUAAUGUACAUUUAAUUUGGAUUAAAAGAUAAAUUUACAUUUUAUGUUUGCAUGUGUAUGUUUAUAAUUCAUUUGCAUGUAACAAACAUCAGCUUCUUUUGUGACAAAAUGCAAACUAAUGGUUUGCAAUUAAUGUAAUUAACUUUAAGAUGAUUUUCUUUCAAUCUGCUGUUUGUUUCAUCUAGUAUUACCAAAGCUAAACCAUCAGAAACGUCAGAAUAGAAAUAAUUUAGAUAGGGAAUAAAAGUAUAACUAAUGUAAUCAUGUCUAAAAUUACUAUAAGCGUCAUUAAGUACAAACUAUCAAUAUUUAAGAGUACUUUUUAAAUCAUCAUUACAUUUUUUAAACAUU